AGCCUCUGAUGAACUGAUCACAUCCACCUGAGAGUCUGAAUGUUGACACGGUUAAGAAAGGUCUGCGCUAGUUUAUCAUUCUUAGCCGAAUCUUCUUCCUUUUACACACAGAUGUCACUUUAUAGCCCGACUGGUUGUUCUACCUGUGAGCGGAUCGAUUUGAACCUGAUCUGUUGGUGAAUGCUGGGAAGCAGCGUAAGAGUAGCUACAGUGGAAGAGGCGCCUGCAGCAGGAGGGGUGGUAGGCAGGGAAGCUUGAGAAGAGAUGGCAAAGACUAGAGCGGAGAGAAGUGGGAGAUGCAGCAGGUUCAUCUAGGAAUGAUGAGACGUCUCAGCCAGGAGGGCAAAGUGAAAAUGUGGCAGAGCAGCAGACGCACGCUGAGGGUCCUUUACAGAGGAGGGGAGGACUGAGUGUGAGGAAGAGGAGCUGUCAGACUGAGAAAUGUCAGGACGAAAGACUAACUGUGAGGACAAGAGUGAAGACUUGCACUCAGCUGUGCAGCUCAGUCACUUCCUCAGGAACGCAAAGAAAAAGAAGAAUUUCUCUCUUUCCUGAUUCAGAAACUUUCUUUAUGACACGGAGAACGAAAACGUGUUCUGGUAACUUUUUGUCCCAGUGUAAUAUCUGUAAAAUUCAAUGUGUGGAAAAUUCCUUCAUUUUAAAACAGGACAUCGACCAGUUGAUGUUAAUUUGUGUAAUAUUUUUGUGCAUCUUUGUUUGCUUCACAUUUUCAAUAAAAAAGAUCAAAAUUGUCAGCGUCUUGUUUCCAGGUUCACAUGAACGACUCUGAGAUUCAGAAAAAGAGAACACGAGAGAAUGUGGUUGUUUCCAUGUUCUGAGUCACAAACACAGCCACAUUUUCCCGUUUUGGGAAAUGCGACCCUCUGAGCACUGAAUGCUACCACCACGCUGAGUGGACCCUCCUCUCCGCUCUGCCUUCAUCAGCAUCAGUGCAUCCAGCUGUGAUGAUUGCAGACUCUCCUCAGCUGUCAUUCAUCUGCUGACGCCUCAGUUCAAACAGGCCUCUGACCUCUUCAUCCCACAAAACCCACGGACGAGUACGAUGGGCACAAAUUAGAGAGCGCUGUAUGGAACUGCUGUGGAGGCUAGGCGCUGCUGUUUGCCUCGGUUUGUCCACACUGUGUCAUUAAAGCUGUGGGUGCACAGAACGAAGUCCCCGGAUCACCGUGAGGUACAGCAAGUCUUUCAAAUUCUCCAUGAAGAUCCUUCAGCUCCUGCUGGAUUGUUUUUCUCUGAGAUCUCUGAGCAGAUGCAUGCAGACUUAUUCAAAAAUAAUGAAAUCCUGGCGAAGGUGAUGCAGGAUUGGAGGGACCAAUAAAACCCGACCGCCCCCCCCCGUCUUCAGCCUAAUGACAUAAUGAGGAUCUCUGCCUCGUCAGCGACAAACCCUCGAGGUGAUGCUGAAAGUUUAAACACAGUAAUCGGUUUCUUCUGACUCUAAUUACUCUGAGAAGCCUUCCUGGCAGGUGCAGCUCAGACCGCCUCAACUUUGUCUCAUUAAACUUUUGCUGAAGAUCCUAAUGCCAGUCAUUGUCUGCACACCAAAGAGUGUUUGACAUGUUUCAGAGUUCAGUCUGCAGCGCACUGAUACUGAGCGGAAGGAUACACUCCCAGGAAAUAGUACAGGCCUCCUUAACCACAAAUAUAGCAGCACAAGCUCAUUAAUAAGCUCAUAGUUGAGUUUUAAAGCUGCUAAUAGAUGGAGUCGAUGGAGUUGGUGAAGUCGAGCCCAGUACAUGCCAAACCAACUGGAGGUUUGUUACCCAGGAGGCAGGGAUGCCUGGGCAUGUGGAGAGGCGGUGCCAUGUGCAUGCGUGGCAGGCGGAGAGUGGGCUGGCGGGCUGAUCUCUGAUCACUUUGAGGGUUCAGUUACUAGAGCGUCUGACAAACAGCCUGCCAGGAAGGCGAAGAUCGGGCAGUUCACUCUCAACCAGCUCCACCAACAGGUGCUUGUUCAGUGUGGGAAGGAAGGACCUCGCCCAGAUAAUGGGCCCAGUCCCAAUCCUCCCACUACAUCCACGGAUGGUCAGACCAGUUAUCUGUAAGUGCAAGUGGCUUGUAAAUCCACUCAAACCUCAAUGCUGCAGUAAAUGACACGAUUAUUUACUGUGACGAGUUCUUAAAAAGACAUUUUUCUCUCACACAUGCAGGAUAUAAAAUAACACAUAUAUAUAUGGACUAAUGUUAUGCUACAGUAAGAGCAGCUGUGCAGAAAUACAUUUUUACAAGGAUGAAAUUAACAGGACUUCAUUUUAAGUGAGUGCAUGAACAGACGUCUGCGUCCUCACAGUUCUUAAACCAUGGCUUUACAAUCUUUUCACCCACACACUGAGGACAAGGAUGGCCGGGCGCGCGGCGGCGUCAUAGCCACGCGCCCUAUAACACAGCCACAUUAUAGGGCGUCUGUAUUUACAUUUACCCUUAGCCAGCAGUUUUAAAUUUCCUUCAAUGUCGCCUGCUCUG